ensembl:lncRNA
GCUCUGUCCUGUCCGGUGCCCGGUGUGUGGGUGCGGAGGUAGCAAAAGAACCCAACCAGAGGUCAAAAUAGGAAGUGCUGUGUCAAGUUCCUUGAGGUAGACCAUAUUUACAAAGGAGACAGGCAACGAAACCACUGAGCUAAAUCCCCGGCCCCGUAUUUACAAAGGAGAAGAUGGAGACACAGGGCCGUGACUUUCCUGAGAUCGCACUGCAAGGGGACCUCGGAGCUCAGGCUCUUUCCUACUCUGCUGUUAGUGCUAGCGCUUUCCAGGUAUGAAAUUCCAUGAUACAAGCAGAAUCCAAGGACCUCGACCUGGGUGGAAGCUCACAAGUUUAGCUAAUCUGUCUCCUCACCAUAUGAUGAAGAUAUUGUGAUCCCAUUUUGCAGAUAUGACAGCUGGGGUCCCAGAGAGGAUACGCAGUGUUGUGUGACUGCUGAGCUCUCGAAGGCAUUUGUAUGAACUCACGCUGACCAUGGGUGUUUUCCCUGUGCCUUCAGCUCCGGAGCUGUGUGGACAGGGCAUGUACUGCUGUGGCUCAAGCAGUGUGACCCAGAGGACGUGCCGGGUAAUCUGCAGAUAAACAUCUGUUACAUCAGAGAAGUUUGCGAGGGAGGAUGGAGCUAGAGAAAUCACUACUUCUGCCUUCCUAUUUUACAGAGGGAAGACUGAGGCCCAGUUGAAGAUCAACUUCUGGGUUUUUUGUUUGUUUGUUUUGGGUUUUUCUGAGAGGACAGGGUCUUGCUGUGUAGUUCAAACUGGCCUUGAACUCACUGUGCAGCCCAGGCUGGCCUCAAACUCACAGCAAUCCUCCUGCCUCAGCCUCCCGAGUGUAGUGUUGGACAUCUUUGAGCAAGGAUCCUUUAUGUUUGUCGCAGUACCUAUUAAGAACACAGGGUCCGGGGCCGGGGUUUUAGCUCAGUGAUUCCACCGCCUGCCCUGCAAGCACAAGGACCCAAGUUUGAUUCGUGGUACCAAAAAAAAAAAAAAAGAACACAGGGUCCAGGAAGAAGGGAGAAAGGAGGAAGGUGGUGAGAAAGGAGUAUUCACUAAGCAUCGGCAGCACCAGCAUUCAGUCAGGCUCUCCCUUCACCAUGGCAACAUGUGGAGCAGGCGGUUUCUCGUUCAGGAAGGAUGGACCUGAGGUCAGAUGGGAGAUCACGUGUCCAGAGGCACACAGCGUGGGUAAAGCAGAGUCCGAAACAAAGCGAGGCGAGGAAGCUGAGGCUAUGUUCCUCUUGCACCACAGUGAGUCUCGGGUGUGCCAAGGAGAAGCACGGGGCAGAAAGCUGGACCAGUCCACCACGGCGUUGCUUCCAACACCAGUAACGAUGCUGUGUGACCCCAAGAAAGUCCCUCAGUGUCUCCAAGCCUCAGGUUCCCCUUUGAUCCUGAAGGGUGGAUGCUGAGUGCUAAGGUCCCCUCCGCUUGGCAGGGCUGGGCUGCAGCUGACUCUCCCUGCGUUCCUUGGCCACCGAGUGAGCCACUUAAAGAUGACUGAUGCUGCCAGGAGGAUCGGUGUCUCUUUAAUGAGAUCUGUCAAGGUCAGGCCCAGCAAGCUUAUUGGGGGUUUUCUGAUGGAGCCUCUCUUAAUUGCUUGGGGUGAAGAGUUCAGAGUUAAGUUGCAGGGUUAGCCUUUCCGUCUCAGGGCGCUGGGCCUUAAACAGCUGACUGAGGGGCCUUCACUCAGCCCAGUGGCCCUCGCCUCCCUGGGGUAGAAGAGGGGGCUGCUGAGCAAUGGAGAAAUAUGCUGUGUUGGUCACCGAGAAGCAAUGUCAAAUUUCUGGGGCUUUCCUAUGUUUUGGUCUAUGUACUGCCAGGAAGACUUCCACAAACAGCGUUGCUUUCGUGUGUGCUUGUGUGAGUGUGUCUUUUUCUAAAGAUAUUUUAUUAUUCUAUACUUGAAAACAUUUAGGACAGUAAGACAUUUUGAACUACUGUGCUCUGCAGAGUCUAGCUAGCAGUUGCUUUUCUUCUGAUGUGUGUAUUUUCUUUCUCUAAUUUAAUUAAGAUUUAUUAAUAAUAGCAACAGUGACAAUCUGAAGAACUCACCUGUCAAUGGAUACCCCACCCUCUUCUUUCAG